UCUCCGUUGGUGAACCAGCGGAGGGAUCAUUACCGAGUUUACAACUCCCAAACCCAAUGUGAACGUUACCAAACUGUUGCCUCGGCGGGAUCUCUGCCCCGGGUGCGUCGCAGCCCCGGACCAAGGCGCCCGCCUGAGGACCAACCAAAACUCUUUAUGUAUACCCCCUCGCGGGUUUUUUACAAUCUGAGCCAUCCCAGCGCCCCUCGGUGGCGUUUAGACAAUGAAUCAAAACUUUCAACAACGGAUCUCUUGGUUCUGGCAUCAAUGAAGAACGCAGC
rnacentral:misc_RNA from 1 species